CAGAUCCCUUUCAUCUCUAAAUAAGUUUGGCUUCUGUCGAAGGAAAACAAAAACAGACCUAGCCAAAAAUACUUUCUGGCUCUGUCUGAGACCCUAGCCAACUGGGGUGUGUCUGACCCAAUAUUCCCCGCAGACUGGAUUCCCUAAGCCCAGAAAGUGCUGCCAAACCUGUCCCCAGAGUCACAGCGCCCCACGUUUUGGGGGGCUCUCCAGUCUCCCAGCCCCACUCACCUGAGCGGGACCCCGGCUCCUCCAUCUCUCUUGGGGUAGGUCUGGGCGCGGGGUCAAGCCCUCACGUCUCGGACACUGAAGCCUGGGAGAAUGACCAACGCUGGGGAGACAGGAAAGGGACUGCGGACGCGGACACAAACCACGAAAAGUAAAGAAGCAGGCCGACAGAGACCUCGAGAGGCCGGCAGCGGGGCUGACAGACCCAAGACACCGAGAAGAGCAGAAAUCUUCACAUCUUCACCAGAAGUAGAUUCCAGCUCAAGAAACUACUUUCUUUACUCAUCCACAAGAAGCAACUCCUCAUCUGUCAAAGUUUGAUCAUGAGAUUGCAGCAAUUCAGUCACACCUUCAGGCUCCACUUCCAAUUCCAGUUCUCUUGCUGUUUCCACAUCUGCAGUGUCUUCCUCCACUGAGGUAAUGAACCCCUCAAAGUCAUCCAUGAGGGAUGGAAUCAACUUCUUCCAAACUCCUGUUAACGUUUGAUAUUUUGUCUGCUUCCCAUAAGUCACAAGUGUUCUUAAUGGCAUCUAGAAUUGUGAAUCCUUUCCAGAAGGUUUCAAUUUACUUUGCCCAGAUCCAUCAGAGGAAAUCACUAUUUAUGGCACUACAGCAUUACAAAAUGUAUUUCUUAAAUAAUAAAACCUGAAGUUGAAAUUA